UUCAAAACAUCAAGUCCAUGUGGAAAAUGUGAAUCAGAGGCCUCUUGGCAGAGACCGGACACCACAAGAGCCAGCGGCUGCCAGCCUGGCCCCUGCUGGGCUGCACCCAGGCCGGGGUCCGGAGCACAGCCCGUGCGGCUGCCCACACCACAGACGGAAGCCGGUCCCCUGCUCAAACUUGUCCUCACUGUGCUGAGGGUCAAGGGCUCACUUACCACACCUGCAAUGAGUCUCCAGUUUGCCAUGUGCCACGGCUCACUCCUGCCUCUGCCUCUGGAUGGCUGUACCCCUCGCCUGGCGUCCACCCAGCUCCGCUCAUCACUGAGGUCUUGGGGUGGCAUUGUGGGAGGGCCCUUCUCGAACCCCGUAUGAAGUUCAAUCAGAACAUCCCCAGAGACCCCUGGAUGCUUUUGCUCAGAAAACUCUUGAUUAUUUAGUUGCCCACCUCCCCUGUUGGAACGGAAGCUCAUGAGGAGCUACCGUGUCCGUGGUGUGCAGCUCGAUGCCCCACCCCCAGCACAGAGCGUGGCACGCAGUCACUGCUCACAGGUGACUCUGACACGAACGGAUGAGCAGAGGUGCAAACUAGGUGUGGCCGGGAGUGAGACCUUCUUGGCAGAAGUGCUCUGCGUGGGACUUCUGGCCCAGCCAAGCUGCCAGCGGAGAAGUGCAGAGCAUGUCAGGCGCUGUGUUCCCCGGAUCCAGACCAGGUACAGCUGACUGGUGUGCGGCUCCCUCUCCCGCCUCCACUGCCCUCCUGGAAACCAGCCUCACGGCCUCUGCCCCGCAGUGUCCUGGUGUUCUGAGAAACGUCCCUUGGGUUCAGGCGAGGUGGCAGGAGGUACGGUGAGCUGUAGCCGCAGCCCGCCGUCAGCCCCUCCCAAGGCGGCCGCCCCAUGCUCGGCUGGCCCCCAGGAGCACCGAGCCCAGGCAGCGCUCUGAAGGGGUCCGUUUCAGGAGCCCAGACCCACGGCGGCUGAGCGUCCACGAGAGGUCCCCCCAGUGUUUGCAUCUCUAAAAUGGGGACAGAGCAAGCCUGCCCCCAGCAUCCUGAGAGACCCUCCCCUCUAAGGAGACGAGAGGGCACUGCUGUAAAGCACACACACGUCUUUUCUGUGUUUCUGCUUUUGUGACAAAUCCCAUGAGGAACAAUAGCAACAAACCCAUUUUCACUGAACCCUAGGAGUGUGACACGACCGACCACUUAGGGAAUUUUCACAACCUCCCUCUGAGGUGGGUACCAUUACCCUCCCCACCUCACAGCUGGGGAAACUGAAGGAAGCCCAGAGGUGAUGUGAUUGGCCGAGGAGCAAACAGCAGGGCCAGAGCACAAACCCGGGGUUCCCGCUUGGGUCUCCCACUCUCCGGAUCAUUACCACGGCCCAGAGAGGAUGUUUAAAAUACAGAGGCUGCAGCCCUGAUGUCCCAUGACACGGUCUCCGGGCGGGGCCCUGGCGAUCUGCAUUUGAACCAGCAAAUUGCCCUCAGCCAGCUGUGAGCCCUGGGCCUCAAUUUUCCCAUCCGUGAAAGGGGUGACUCCUUCCCCACAGGCUGUUCUGGGGUCAAGCGAGGGGAAUGCUGGGUAUGUGUUCUAAACACAGCCCAGAGGUGCCUGGCAGAAGGUUCCACGGAGGAAGACGCCUCUGGGCAGCCCACCAGCCCCUCCACCUCCACCUCAGGGGCCCUUGGGCUAUAAAGGGCCCUCUGAAGAUGCCCAUACACCUCUGCGGGGCUGCAGCCAAGGCUCUUCCGGCUGCCUCCACCUGAGGCAGUAGCAGACCGGGGAGCCGCUCACAAGUCACCAGGUGGGCUGGGCCAGGGCACACGCCUAUGCAGCCUAUCUUCUGUGCAUUGUCUUUCCAGGCAAGAGCAGCACUCGGCAAACCAGCUGAGCUGGGGGCAGGGUGGACACCAGGACUACAUCGCACACCCCACACCGGGGACCCCACAGGGUGACACCAGCUGGGGCACUUGAUGGCCACCUCGUGGGCCUGCAGCAAAGACACACACACGUUUCACACACGUACACGCCCACAUGCACACUUGUAUCCACAGGCACUUCUCUGACAAACAGGGGUGGCUCCCCCUGAGGUCCUCUCCCUUGGCCAAACCCGCAUGCCCUCUCUCUUCUGGGCCGUUGCUGCCAGCACGCUCGGGUAAAGAUUCCAAAAUGACCAUUGUAACACUGUCACCUGCAGGGCCAGAGUCCCAAGUGGCAGCUGUAUCAAGGUUCAAACACAGAAAUACCUGUGCAAACUAAAUAACACUCACAGCCACGUGUUCUGGGCGCUGACCAUGGCAGGGCCACGCUGAGCGACGUGCCGAGUUAUCUCAUUGAAGCGCCACUGCCGCCCAGGAGGAAGGCGUCAUCACCAUCCCCGCAGAUGACCAGGGCGGGCUGCUAGCAAAUCAGAGAGCCUGCAAGGAGCAGAGAGACAACUCAAACCCAGGAGGGCUCUGCUCGUUCACCACUUGACAUAAGAGCCUUUAGUGUGCCCGGCACUGUCCUAGGCCCUGGGGACCCAGCAGUGACCAAGGCAGAGCAUGGCACCGAUGGCCCAGUGGGAGACUUGGAGACCAAGCUCUUAACCCUGGUGUCCACUCUUCCAAAGGCCACCGGCUCCUUCCAAAAGGAGACUUCCCUGCCUGGGGCCCUGGCAUCCGCUGCUGGAAGGAGGCCCUCUGAAGACCCUGUGAGGUGGUGGUCCAGAUUAGAUGACAUCAGCCAGCAGAAACCUGGUCCUGUAGGUUAGUCUACUGACACAGGCCCCGGGCAGACCGCACCAGCGUACUGGAAAAUCAAGAGCCACUUCCGACCUCGCUCUCCUCCUCUCUGUUCCUUCCCGGUGGGGUGGCCUUCAAGAAUCUUCAGGCACUGGGCUCACCGUGGAGGCAGCAGACAUGCAACACUGCCCACCCCCACUGCCCCGAGGAUGGCAAUGCACCUGAUUCUUUGGCAGUUUCCCUUUGGCAGGCGUAGACUCAAUUAUACUAGUCUCUGUUUGGGGUUUCCAGACACAGGCCUAUCUCUCCAGGAAUCUUUCCAGGACCAUCUCUUAAAGAUCUUAGGCAAAUCUCCCACUUGGGGAUGGAAUCCUAUCGGCCACUGACAUUCAUGGAGCGCUUACCAUGUGCCAGGGCACACAUUUGAACCACCUAUUAGUCUCAUCUUGCAAAUGAGGAAAGUAAGGCACUAAGAGGUGUAGUAACUCGCCAGGUCACAGAGCUGGUAGUGGAACACCUGAGCCCUGGGGUCUGUCUCAGGAACCUGGACUCUCAAACUCCAUCGCCUCUCUAUUAGGUCACAUCAAUUCGGUUUCUUUGCAAGUGUCCUCACGUUUCAGAGGUUCUCGGGGUGCCUGAGGCCCCUGAGCUGACUCCCCUCCCUGUCCAGGCCCCGGGCCUCUGACCUGGCCCACAUACCUCCCCACCCACUUACAGGGUCCCAUGGCUUUGUGCAGCCCAGCUUCUGCCUGAGGCCUGUUUCCCCUCAGGCCGCCUCAUCCCCACAAGCUGCCUAAAAGAACUAGGGUGCAGGUCUCACAAACGAGGGGAACUGCUGCGUGUGAGGCAGCAGGGAGUGUGGGGGGCAGGAAAGCGAGUGCCCCAUCCACAAGGUGGCUGCUCUUAGCAGCAGCUGCGAGCUGCCACGUGGCCACAGAGGCCAGGAAACCCCAUUUUUUUUAGAGGCACUGGAAAUCCAGUUUUUUAUGUGAGAUUUCCUAAUUUGAAAAUGCUUGCAUUGAACUCAAAAUUUUUUUAAAUCUGAGGACCAAAUAAUCACAUCUGUGAUUGGGCAGAAUUCCAGCCCCCAUGCUGCCAGUUUACAAUCUCCGUUUUAGAAGAUCAUGUCUGUUGGGAAGUUUCACAAAUGGGGGCAGAGAGCAGAGGGGCCAUGACAUUGAAUUAGGACCCACUAUGAGCCAAGAGCUGUGGGAGGCUCUCUCCUGAAUCCUGCACAGCAACCCUGUGGGGUCAGGGUUCAUGGCCCCAUUUGUAGAUCAGUAAGCAGGCUCAGAGGGGUGAAGUGAACUGCCCAAGGACAAACAGCGAGCGGGCAGAAUCGCCAGGAUCAGGACUCAGGUGCACCAGGCUCCGAGGCACAGCUGCCCAAGGUCUGCCUGGCAGCACGCAACUGCGGCUCUGAGAGUGCGGGGCAGGUGGAGAGCCAAGCGUGGCGAUGUGCCCAUGUGGCCCCGCUCCGAGGGGCCUGAGCGGGCGGGGCGGGGCAGGGCGGCAAACCUUCUCAUCCGGCCUUGACUCAGGGUUAGCUCAGCUCUGACAAGCACCUGGCUUCGCUGUGACCCAGUUUCGCAGCAUGGCCAGCCGAGCGAGCCGGGAAGGUCGGCAGUCGGGAGCGGAAGCGGCCCUGCCACGGGGCCUGCAGGGUGAAUCUGGGCAGGGCUCUCAGCUCUCGGAACCCCAGCCCGAUUCCAAAAAGGAGGGGCCGGCUCCAUCCAUCUUCAGGCCCUCCCAGCUCCCAGGCUGCCGUGACACCUAACGCAGGGCAAACCGCUCUGCCUGUCUUCCCGCCUGUGAAACGGGGCAGGUGAGAACCCCACCUCCGGGGUUUGCUGUCAGAACAGAACACAGUGGUGUAUUCACGGAGCCCAGCCCUGAGCCGCUCACAUCACUGACUUCCAGCAUCACCGCCACCGAACCGUCUAGCACCUGCGGCUUCUCACUUCCUCCCUCCACAGAGCCAGGACCCACCACAAUGGAAAACAAACAUCUGUGCAAUUAUUUGCACACUGUCACUCUGCCCAUCUUCCCCACUAGCCUGGAAAUGCCAUGAAGGUCUCAUUUGAAUGUUCUGAGGACAUAAAGAGAAAGUCUCAGAUGGGCGCUAUCCGGUCUCCAACCUCCCAUCUCUCCAGCACCUGCUGACAUCCCUUCUUUAACAGACCCAGCAACUUGAGCCAGAACUGAACAACUCUGCAUAAUAUCUAUCUGUGGCAGGUGGUACUGCUUUUCCAUUUUCAAAGCUGUUAUAAAGUUAGCUUUUGUAAAUAAAAAUGUUAAGCUCAAAAACUGAGUAACUUAAAGAAAAAAUUAUUAGGUAAAUAACAUGUGUUGUUUAGGAAUAUGCCCCAAAUUAUGAAGAUGGUACCAGAAUGGUGGAGGAUUAAAAAUGGGCUGAAGUUUACCAUAGCAGAGACGGUGACGGGAGCAUCAAAGCCCGCUCUUUCCUCUUCCUCCCGGGCACAUGGUGAGACCUGGUCUCCUGACCACUCCUGGAGCCACAUGAGGCCAGGUCCCCAAGUUCAGGACAAGGAAACAUGAGAAGUGAUGGUGCCACAACCAGACCCUCUCCGCAGCCCUCCGUGUCCUCCCUCCGCCUCCCCCACUGCCAGGCCUCAGAGGGGAUCCCACACACUCUCCGGGAGGACAGGGCCACAAGAUGGCAGGAGCCUGGGUCUCUGGGUACCUGAGAGGGACAGAGCAUCCCCACCCCCUUGGGACUUCACAUGAGUGAAAAGUGAACUGUUGCAUCAAAUCACUGAGAUUUUCAGGUUGUUUAUAGGAAUUAGCUGAUUUAGGCUAAUAUAAAAGGGGCAUUUCUAGUCUAAUUUCCUGCCAACUUGGGACUCUUCUAUGACAGCCUGGACGUCCUGGUGCUUUUUUCUGUAAUGUAUAAUUACUGAACCCCUAACAGAUGCCAGGCACAGGUGUAAGGGCUUUACAGAGCCGAGCUCAACUCUUCCUCGUGGCAGUGCUGGGAGCCAGGCACUAUUGAUUAAUAGGCCUGUCUUUCAAUGAGGUGACCAAGGCCCAGAGGGGUGAAGCACCUGGCCUGCAGUCACACAUUUAGCAAGUAGUGAAGCUGAGACUGGAACCCAGGACUGUCAGAGACGCACCAAGCCCUUACAUUGCCACAAUGCCCACAGCCUCUGCUGAGCAUAUCACCCAGGGCUGCCGUGCCCCGACUACACAAGACCCCUCAUGUAGGGCCUCGCUGGGUCCUGCAGGAGACAGCACAAGUGUGACCUUGCCAUGGCCUGGAGCCCUGCAAGUGAGACAGGAAGGGAGCAAGGGAGGCACGUGGCAUAGGGCAUGAUGGAGACAGGAGGGGCCGGCACAGUCAGGGAGGGCUGCAGGAAAGCACGGGGCAGUGGGAGGGCAGGGGGCAUCCCCACUUAGGAAGAACAGGGAGGGCUUCUUGUAGGAGGUGGUGCUUGAGGCUGGCUGCGGAGGGCGGGUGAGAUUUCAUCUGGCAUGGUUGGGUGGGGAUACGCUGUCUCACCUACAGCCAACAGCACCUCCUGGAUCCUCAGGAAUGAGCUCAGGGCAGGCCCGCCACCCUGUCUAUCACAAGCGGCCUAAAAGACUGUGGGACAAGACUCACGCCCACUCCUUAAAACCCUUCCCUGAGCCGGGUGAAACACUCCUAGUCUUUCCAAGCCUCCUUCUAUGGGCCUCGCUAUCAACUCUUCUUCCAAAGGGCACGGGGCGUAAUGGAAAGAUUGGGGAAGGGGGGACCACUCCAUAUCACGAUACCUCCUAGCCCCUCAGGAGUGAUACACAGCCCACCGCAGCGGGGCGUGCACCGAUGGAGCAGAAAGAGGUGCUGUUAAGUCACGUGAGACAGCCCAAGGGAUUCUAGGAGCUGGUGGUCCACUUCCCCGCAGCGGGGCCAGCCUACAGCAAGGAGGGUGAGGACAACGACAGCCGACCAGUGAGGAGCGAUACCGGGGGAGCCUGAGAAACGCCACCUGAACCAGGUGCUGAAGAUCCAGGCCACCUGAGACGUCACACGGAUGUCAGGUGCCCCCGGUGGAUGAACUGAGAAGGGUGCUCCACCCUAACCCAGUCCAAUCGUGAGAAAGCCUGGCACAAACCGAGGCUGGGGGGCAUUCUACAGCACACCUGGACAAUGCUCCUCAGGACUGCCACGGUCAGGCAGAACAAGAAACUGAGGAACUGUCCCCAGCCCGAGCAGACCGGGGAGACAUGACCACGAACGCAGUGUGGGACCCUGGAGUGGAUCCUGGAGCAGGAAAAGGACAUUGGUGGGAAACAGGUGAAAUCCAAAUUAAGUCUGGAGUGUAGUCCAUGAGAACGUGCCAGUGUCAGGGGCUCAGUUGUGACAAAUAUGGUAACAUACGGUGUGACCCAAGGUGAAAAUGGGAUGGAGGUAUCUGUAUAUCUUUACGACUUUUCUGUAAAUCUAAAUUAUUCCCAAAUAAAAAGUGUAUUUGAGAAAAAAAGAAAGAGAAAAGCAAAAUGCCAGAACUAAAACAUCAGUCCCACAAGACGGGGGGCAGCAGCUGUCUGGCUGGCUCAGUGCUCUAUCCCAGCUUCUAGAACACCGCCAGGCACACAGUAGGCCCUCAAUGAAUAUGUUCAAUGAACCAAUGACUUCACCACCACAGCUCGCUCCCGGAUUGUUGACAGUGGCUCCAAAGACCAGCCGGAGAAAGGGCAGGAUGGCCAGCCCAACCCUCCCCCACAGGAGGGGCUGCAGCUCUGCCCGGCUGCCCAGCAGGGGCUCAGCUGCCCACAGAUGCGCACAGUGACAGGAAAUGCACCCAGGCCUGGCCUUCUCCCCAGGGACCCAGAGAGCACCCCCCCCCCCGCCCCGCCCCAAGGCUUCCAUCACAACCAACCGUAAACACAACUAAGUAGACAGCAGCUGAUGUGGGGUGCCCAUGGAGCGGCCCCAAUAAGAUCAAGACCAUAACACUCCCCUCCAGGGCAUUUUUGCUCCGGGAAAGCGUGGUUAAGAAAGCCAGCUCUGGUGUCACACACAGAGCACUCGAGUCUCAGCCGUGUCAUCCAUGGUUUGUGUGACCUUGGCCAAAUCCUGUCCCCGCUCUGUGCCCAGCAUCCUCAUCAGGCAGCUGGGAACGAGGCCUGGCUCCUGCCUCACAUGAAGAUGAACUGAAGGAACCUGAGGAAGGCCUUCGGCCUGGCACUUGAUAAAUGGGGCUACUGCGGGCACCACUGUCAUCACAGCACAGCCCUGGGAGGUCACCUGAAGAGACACCCUGGGGGCUGAAGGUAUUAAAGGGUCUGGAGCAGUGGAGCGUCACUCAGCUUGGGCUGUGGCCAGCGCUGGGGCAGCCGAGGACGAAGGCCAGGUCCAGUGGCAGAGCUGGCAGUGCCAUCCCAGUGCCCUCCGGAGGGGGAAGCCCAGCUGCCAGGCCUGGAGGAACCGUGCCCCGAGGGGCCUCUGCCCAACCUGUGGGUCCCACCCUCCUCUGCCUCCGCCUCCAAGGCCGUGCCCAGCAGACCACCGCCCGAGAGCCCAGGGGCUCCACCCCAAGUCCUGUCCACCGGCUGGCAUAUGCUGGCCACACUGGUGCGUAUGACACACAGGCUGCACGCUGCUAGCCACAGACUGUCAUCAGCCCUCAGAAGGCUUUGGUUUGGCCUAGCAUGAACUAUUUUCACACAGUUUAGAAGAUUUUCGUCAUUUCUGCAAAAAUUGGGGAAUCUGUGGGGCAACAAGCCACAGAGCUGCCCUGGAGCUGCCCCUUCCAGAUGUCCGGUGGGCACAGGCCAUGCCAAAUCGCCCACCGAGGCACCCGCCUGGGCCCUGGGGGCAAGCAGGGUGUGACUGACCAUCUUCUCUCUCACCAUAGAUUAAUGUCCUGGUGUCUGGGGUUACCGCGUGGGCGCCACUCAGAAAGAGGAGUCCGGCUCCAGGUGUAAUCACCCCAGGUGUUCUCCGGUGAGCAGGUCCCCGGUUUCACCAGGUCCACCCACCAGAUGACCUUCUGCAGAGGUCUACCAGGGCUCGGCAAGGAGCAUGGGGCCAGUGCCGCCAGAGUGGGCCAGGAAGGGGGAGACACACCCUAUCUCUAAGCCUGCUUAUCUCGCAUUCCACAUGAGCUCCUCUCAUCCUCACGAAACCCCUGCAAGGAAAGUGUGAGCACCCCGAUCUGCAGAUGAGGGAAACUGAGGUUCAGAGAGGCCAAGUGUCAUGUCCAGGGUCCAGGCUAGUAAACACAGGGAAGGGACUUGAAUCCAGAGAGAUGUGCUGAACGAGCACAACAUGAGGGUCUGUUCCGAGGGCGGCCUGGCAGCCGGGGAAGCAUGCUGUGGGCAGCCCUCGGAGGGACGCGCAGUGUGGGAGGAUCUGCAAGGGUGGCAGGGUCGGCCCUCCACCUAGCGCUUCCCCCCCGAAGACCUGGAGUCACUUUCUCCUCACUGUGAAUGUACUCUUGGACGCAGCAAAACAUCCAGAGGCCAAAGACACCAGGAUGCCCCAAAGUUCUCAAGGGACAUUUUGGUUAAAUUCUAUAUGUCAGUGGCUCCUGGUGUGAAAGCAGGAGAGAGGAGGGCAGAGAGGGGAGGAGAGAGAAGACCUGGUGGGGAAUCAUAAAAAUCAAUGAUGGCAGAGUAUCGGCAGGCAGGAUGGCCCCAGGUGAAGCUUCCCAGCUCGGGAACCACAGACCCAGGUUCCAGCCUGAGCAGUGCACCUGCCCUGCUGCGUGCCCUGGGCCAGCCACCCCCAGCUGGGAACCCGGCUUCCUGUUUUAAAACUGAAUAAAACAGGGGCCAGCCCAGUGGCGCAGCGGUUAAGUUCGCACGUUCCGCGACUCGG